GUGGGGAAUAUUGGACAAUGGGCGAAAGCCUGAUCCAGCCAUGCCGCGUGUGUGAAGAAGGUCUUCGGAUUGUAAAGCACUUUAAGUUGGGAGGAAGGGCAGUAAGUUAAUACCUUGCUGUUUUGACGUUACCGACAGAAUAAGCACCGGCUAACUUCGUGCCAGCAGCCGCGGUAAUACGAAGGGUGCAAGCGUUAAUCGGAAUUACUGGGCGUAAAGCGCGCGUAGGUGGUUUUGUAAGUUGGAGGUGAAAUCCCCGGGCUCAACCUGGGAACUGGCUCCAAAACUGCAUGACUAGAGUACGGUAGAGGGUAGUGGAAUUUCCUGUGUAGCGGUGAAAUGCGUAGAUAUAGGAAGGAACACCAGUGGCGAAGGCGACUACCUGGACUGAUACUGACACUGAGGUGCGAAAGCGUGGGGAGCAAACAGGAUUAGAUACCCGGGUAGUCC
rnacentral:rRNA from 1 species